CUUAUUCUUAAACUAUUAUUUUAUGGGGCUCGUCAGCCUGGGAAGGCAGUCCAUCUAGGAGAGGGAGAACUCAGAUUUAAAACAUCUACUGCCUUGUGGCCGUAUCCACUCAUGGAAAAGGCUCCAGGAGUAAACCUCAAGAAAACCCGGAGUCGGAGCCCCUAAGGCAGUUCGUCGUUGUCUACAACCUCGCUCUGGCAGCUCCUGCGACGG